CCUGACUGACCGAUAGUGAACCAGUACCGUGAGGGAAAGGCGAAAAGAACCCCGGCGAGGGGAGUGAAAAAGAACCUGAAACCGUGUACGUACAAGCAGUAGGAGCCUCUUUAUGGGGUGACUGCGUACCUUUUGUAUAAUGGGUCAGCGACUUAUAUUCUGUAGCAAGGUUAACCGUAUAGGGGAGCCGCAGGGAAACCGAGUCUUAACUGGGCGUUAAGUUGCAGGGUAUAGACCCGAAACCCGGUGAUCUAGCCAUGGGCAGGUUGAAGGUUGGGUAACACUAACUGGAGGACCGAACCGACUAAUGUUGAAAAAUUAGCGGAUGACUUGUGGCUGGGGGUGAAAGGCCAAUCAAACCGGGAGAUAGCUGGUUCUCCCCGAAAGCUAUUUAGGUAGCGCCUCGUGAACUCAUCUUCGGGGGUAGAGCACUGUUUCGGCUAGGGGGUCAUCCCGACUUACCAACCCGAUGCAAACUACGAAUACCGAAGAAUGUUAUCACGGGAGACACACGGCGGGUGCUAACGUCCGUCGUGAAGAGGGAAACAACCCAGACCGCCAGCUAAGGUCCCAAAGUCAUGGUUAAGUGGGAAACGAUGUGGGAAGGCCCAGACAGCCAGGAUGUUGGCUUAGAAGCAGCCAUCAUUUAAAGAAAGCGUAAUAGCUCACUGGUCGAGUCGGCCUGCGCGGAAGAUGUAACGGGGCUAAACCAUGCACCGAAGCUGCGGCAGCGACACUAUGUGUUGUUGGGUAGGGGAGCGUUCUGUAAGCCGUUGAAGGUGGCCUGUGAGGGUUGCUGGAGGUAUCAGAAGUGCGAAUGCUGACAUAAGUAACGAUAAUGCGGGUGAAAAACCCGCACGCCGGAAGACCAAGGGUUCCUGUCCAACGUUAAUCGGGGCAGGGUGAGUCGACCCCUAAGGCGAGGCCGAAAGGCGUAGUCGAUGGGAAACAGGUUAAUAUUCCUGUACUCGGUGUUACUGCGAAGGGGGGACGGAGAAGGCUAUGUUGGCCGGGCGACGGUUGUCCCGGUUUAAGCAUGUAGGCGGAUGUUCCAGGUAAAUCCGGAACGUUAUUAACGCUGAGGUGUGAUGACGAGGCACUACGGUGCUGAAGUGACAAAUGCCCUGCUUCCAGGAAAAGCCUCUAAGCAUCAGGUAACAUCAAAUCGUACCCCAAACCGACACAGGUGGUCAGGUAGAGAAUACCAAGGCGCUUGAGAGAACUCGGGUGAAGGAACUAGGCAAAAUGGUGCCGUAACUUCGGGAGAAGGCACGCUGAUAUGUAGGUGAAGUGGUUUACCCAUGGAGCUGAAAUCAGUCGAAGAUACCAGCUGGCUGCAACUGUUUAUUAAAAACACAGCACUGUGCAAACACGAAAGUGGACGUAUACGGUGUGACGCCUGCCCGGUGCCGGAAGGUUAAUUGAUGGGGUUAUCCGUAAGGAGAAGCUCUUGAUCGAAGCCCCGGUAAACGGCGGCCGUAACUAUAACGGUCCUAAGGUAGCGAAAUUCCUUGUCGGGUAAGUUCCGACCUGCACGAAUGGCGUAAUGAUGGCCAGGCUGUCUCCACCCGAGACUCAGUGAAAUUGAACUCGCUGUGAAGAUGCAGUGUACCCGCGGCAAGACGGAAAGACCCCGUGAACCUUUACUAUAGCUUGACACUGAACACUGGUCCUUGAUGUGUAGGAUAGGUGGGAGGCUUUGAAGUGUGGACGCCAGUCUGCAUGGAGCCAUCCUUGAAAUACCACCCUUUAAUGGCUGGUGUUCUAACGUGGGCCCCUAAUCGGGGUUGCGGACAGUGUCUGGUGGGUAGUUUGACUGGGGCGGUCUCCUCCUAAAGAGUAACGGAGGAGCACGAAGGUCAGCUAAUCCUGGUCGGACAUCAGGAGGUUAGUGCAAUGGCAUAAGCUGGCUUGACUGCGAGCGUGACGGCGCGAGCAGGUGCGAAAGCAGGUCAUAGUGAUCCGGUGGUUCUGAAUGGAAGGGCCAUCGCUCAACGGAUAAAAGGUACUCCGGGGAUAACAGGCUGAUACCGCCCAAGAGUUCAUAUCGACGGCGGUGUUUGGCACCUCGAUGUCGGCUCAUCACAUCCUGGGGCUGAAGUAGGUCCCAAGG
rnacentral:rRNA from 1 species